rnacentral:rRNA from 1 species
UACAGAGGUCUCGAGCGUUGUUCGGAUUCAUUGGGCGUAAAGGGCGCGUAGGCGGCGGGGUAAGUCUGGUGUGAAAUCUCGGAGCUCAACUCCGAAACUGCACUGGAUACUGCUCUGCUAGAGGGCUGGAGAGGAGACUGGAAUUUACGGUGUAGCGGUGAAAUGCGUAGAUAUCGUAAGGAAGACCAGUGGCGAAGGCGGGUCUCUGGACAGUUCCUGACGCUGAGGCACGAAGGCCAGGGGAGCAAACGGG